AUGAACGCUGGCGGCGUGCCUAAUACAUGCAAGUCGAGCGAACAGACGAGGAGCUUGCUCCUCUGACGUUAGCGGCGGACGGGUGAGUAACACGUGGAUAACCUACCUAUAAGACUGGGAUAACCUCGGGAAACCGGAGCUAAUACCGGAUAAUAUAUUGAACCGCAUGGUUCAAUAGUGAAAGACGGUUUUGCUGUCACUUAUAGAUGGAUCCGCGCCGCAUUAGCUAGUUGGUAAGGUAACGGCUUACCAAGGCAACGAUGCGUAGCCGACCUGAGAGGGUGAUCGGCCACACUGGAACUGAGACACGGUCCAGACUCCUACGGGAGGCAGCAGUAGGGAAUCUUCCGCAAAGGGCGAAAGCCUGACGGAGCAACGCCGCGUGAGUGAUGAAGGUCUUCGGAUCGUAAAACUCUGUUAUUAGGGAAGAACAAAUGUGUAAGUAACUAUGCACGUCUUGACGGUACCUAAUCAGAAAGCCACGGCUAACUACGUG
rnacentral:rRNA from 1 species